rnacentral:piRNA from 1 species
UGGAAAAGACAUUCUCACCAGGGUUC